rnacentral:lncRNA from 1 species
UAUGAAACCAUUUCAAGUUUUAUGCUUUUUCAAAAUGGCGUGUCAACGUCCUCGGAAAGAAUGAAAAACAGAAAAUUACAGGAGAGAUUCUAUGGUAUAUCCCUGUGGAUACAGAACAUAGAACCAUUUAUAUCCCAUUCGCUUAACCUCCCAGCAGCACACGACACACUGAAAAUAAAGUUGACGGUAACAAAAUAGAAACAAGAGAGCUGUGCGUCUUAGUUUUUUUGUUUGGUAUCAAACAAACAAAAGAAGAGAAAAAGAACCCUUUUGCGAUGUUUGAGAACUUUGAAAAUAGAUGGAAGGGUUGGAUAUGGAGAGCUUCGUGUUGGCCUCUCUAAGUUUCCAUAAUCUUUCCUUUCCUUGCUUCCAGUGAUCACCAAUUUCAGUAUUUUCUUUUUUUUUUAUCCCUUUUCUAGGAUAUAACCCAAGAAAUUGCAGGAAACUUGGAGGAAAAAGGUGAGUGCGGUGUUUUUUUUUUUUUUUUCAUAUUCCGGGGCUUGAUUCAGUUGAUCAGCAGAUUAUGGAGAUGGAGAUUAUCAACUGGUACGGUUCUUUAUUCUGCAAUUUUGUUCUUUUUUAUUUCAUCCCAAGAUUUUUCAGUUUUUUGGGGGUUUUUGGUUGUUAACUUGGCUUUGUUCCUUUUUAGUCUUAGUUAUGAUAUACUAAGAUGAUUCGUGUUUGCAUAUGUUAAGUUUAUAUAUGUGUGUGCUUGUUGUCUCCAAUUGCAGUUUAUGGAGAUUUUAUUUGCCUAGGAAUUUUGAAUUGAGUUUAAUUUCUGGCUGCCUCAGGAUUUAGGGGGCAUAGAGUCUUAUUAUUCGGAUUCUAAUAAUAUGCUAGUAGGAAAGAUUUUUCCCCCCCAUUCCAAUAGCAGCAUCCAAUUCUUUGUCUUCAUCAUCAUCUUUAGGGUUUUAUUUGAUGUAAAAUUUAUAACUUAGAAGCUACAGGAAAGAUCUAGCAAAAAGAGAAAAGAGCCAUGGGAAUGGAUUUUCUUUUCAUUUUUGCAGGAGGUCUAGGUAAGUAGACAAUUUAAUUGGGUUGAAUGUGAAUCUUUCUCAAACACAUACGUGACAUCUAUUUCUGUCUUUCAAGGAAAUACCAAAUUUAUUCUAGGUGAUUGUUGUGUUUUAAGAAGAUGCUAAAAAGAAAUAUCAGAGUUUUUUGUUUAGUAUCCAAAUGACCUUCAGCUAGAUCAUUUAGAUGAUAGAACCAUAAUCGGAGUGUUCGAUCACUUUUAGUUGAGGUCUUGAUGGGCUGAGCACGUGACCAGUAAGAGAUCAGGCGAAAACAAGGAGAAUGAAAUAGAGAUGCUCAUGAAGAAAAUGCUAGAGUUCAAAGAGAACUCUUCUUUUCAGAUACAUGAUUGAUAUUAUCUCAUCAAGAUUUUGAUAUGCUUCCCUGUUGCAUUACCUACCUGAACAUUAGGUGCUCUUUGCACUUGAAAGUAUGCAUGUUCUGUUAAUUAUGAUAUCACAAAGAGGGGAACUGCACGUAAGAAAAGGGUGUCGAAAAUCGUAAUUUUGUAUUCUUGAAUGAUCCAGUGUGCAAGAUCCUCUUUUCUAUUGUUCCUAGGCUGCUUAAAUGAAACCCAGUAGAUAGUUAUUGCAGUUUGAACCUGUAGUGCAUGUUUGUUAUGCAGCAAUGGACUAUCAAGGGGAAAUGAGUAAAAGAUGAACUCUGAGUUUCUGAAAUUUAUUUGCCUUAACAUUUACAAUCUAAUCAAAAUGAUCUUCAUUAAUGCAAGGAAUGAAAAUGAAGCAGGGUUGAAGUUCAUGUUAUCAAAUAUUCUCAGUUUACAGUUACACAUGAUUCCUCUUUAAUUUUUUAGUUAGAAAAAAUUUUACAUGAGAAAUUAUUACAAAGAAGUUCCUCAGGCAUCUUCUGCAAAAACUUUUUUAUUUAUUUAUUUAUUAUUAUUAUUAUUUUUUUUUUGUAUGCUGCUUUAUAGCUUUCAUUUGCAAGAAAUUGUAAUAAUACUAGAAAAUUAUAUUGGUUUUCCUGUUAUUAUUGGAAAGUUUUCUGUUCAACUGAUUUGAUUCACAAUUUUACACCUUUUCUUCAGAAUAUACUGUAUGAAAUCUUGAAGCAACCAAAUGACAAAUACUUGAUUAUUUACUAGUUACGACUUGAUAUGAUGAUUGCUUCCACUGACUAAUGAUAAUACGAAAAUUGUAUAAAUUUUGGGAACACUGUUUUUUCUUCUUUUCGUACACUAUUAUCCAAAUGUAUGCCUUUGUUUGUCUCUCUGUUAUACAUUGCUUUAUAUUCACUCUCUCUUCAAUGGCCAGUGUGCAUGCAGGUUCCACGGACAUUUAAAACUGGCAACAACAAUUUUCUGACUUAGGAAGAGUGGUGAUCUAUAACAAAGCUUCAUUGAACACUAGCUGCGGGACAUAAUAAUCAGAUUCAGUGUUGUUUCCGGUGGCUCGGCUACUCAUUCUCAGUUGAAGCUCUUUCUCUGUAGCAAGUCUCCUUCCUUUGGCAUUGGGUGGAACUGAGCUUAAAUUCAGCUAUACUCGGGCACAUCUCCUUUGGCAAUACAUAUUUGAUUUCUGAAAUAAAGAAAAAUUUGCUUCAAGCCUUUAGCAAUAUAUGUCCAUGUAAUAUCGGUUCAGGGCAAAUCUUCUUUGGCAAAUUUGAAGUUCCUCCAGUUGGCCAUGCUAGCUGAGGAUGGUUCGACAAUUUUAAGGCCUUGACUUAUAAGAACAGUCAGGAAUACAGACUUUGAGGGCUUAGCUCCAGUUGGUGAUAUUUGACUUGGAAUUUCUACCAGGACCCUUUUUUUGGUCCAUUUUUGGGCAAAUCUCCUUUGGCAUUUUGGAGUCUUGAAUAAGACUCCGUUUAUCCCUUUAGUGGGCAAAUCUCCUUUGGCAUUUAAACUCCAUUUGUGGAGAUAAUAAGACUAUGAAAAUAUUUGGAACAUAAACAGAGAGACUUCACUGUUUGCCCUCGGAUUUUUAUUUUUUUUCCUCUUUUUGGCAAGGCUACUGAUUCCAGUUGCAACUAGAGUUGCAACUUUCUAGUUAUUGUGCAGUCUGGCAGAGGCCUACAUUCCAAAUUACUCAGUCUCGACUAAAGCAUAACCCAAGCGGUACGCCUCUCUACUAUUGUCAUUACUAUUUUAUUAUGCUUCUUUUUGUGUUUAGUUAACUUCAUCAGGAAAACAAUCAUACUUGGUCCAUGCUUCUUUAUGUGAAGCAAUUUGGCUUGAUGAUUGGUGUUGAUUUGGGUCAUUUCAAUUGAACUCUAAUUCUCAUAUUAGUAAAUGAAAUAGCCAACAGUAAUGACACAAUUACCUUAUUCAUGUUCUAGUAAAUGUUAUCUAUUCUCUAGCUUCAACCUAUAAAUGACUUUUAUUUCACUUGCUAAAUUAUAGGGAGAUACUUAGGUCUCUUAGAGACAAACAUUGUAGAGGAAACAUAUUCUUUAGCAAGGCACAAGUGUGAACACUAUUUUGAUGGCAUACUAUUUCUAUUUUAACAAUCUUCGUCUCCCAUACUUCAUCUACAAUUAUUAUAAUUCAUGUUCUAGUAUAUGUUGUCUACACUCAAGCUUCAAUCUACAGAUGAUUGUCAUUUCACUGCUAACUUCUAGGGUGAUAAUUAGGUAUUUUAGAGAGGAAUGUCACAGAGGAUAUACAUUUUUGUGUAAGGCAAGAGUGAGAACAUUAUUUAGAUGCCAUCCUUCUUCUAUUUCAACAAUCUUAGUCUCCUGUACUUCAUUUUUUGGUAAUAAAAUCGUUUGUUUUGAAUUUGCAGAAGUAAAAGUAUAACUAAACAAGUACUAUCUAGUAUCAGCAUUAUGGAUUUGCUAGACAGUGAUUUCGACAGUCUCAGCGAG